GACGAACGCUGGCGGCGUGCUUAACACAUGCAAGUCGAACGGAAAGGCCCUUCGGGGUACUCGAGUGGCGAACGGGUGAGUAACACGUGGGUGAUCUGCCCUGCACUUUGGGAUAAGCCUGGGAAACUGGGUCUAAUACCGAAUAGGACCGCGCGCUUCAUGGUGUGUGGUGGAAAGCUUUUGCGGUGUGGGAUGGGCCCGCGGCCUAUCAGCUUGUUGGUGGGGUAAUGGCCUACCAAGGCGACGACGGGUAGCCGGCCUGAGAGGGUGACCGGCCACACUGGGACUGAGAUACGGCCCAGACUCCUACGGGAGGCGGCAGUGGGGAAUAUUGCACAAUGGGCGCAAGCCUGAUGCAGCGACGCCGCGUGAGGGAUGACGGCCUUCGGGUUGUAAACCUCUUUCACCAGGGACGAAGCGCAAGUGACGGUACCUGGAGAAGAAGCACCGGCCAACUACGUG
rnacentral:rRNA from 1 species